GCCAGGUGUGGUGGCGCACACCUGUAAUCCCAGCAGCUUGGGAGGCUAAGGCAGGCAGAUUGCAUGUUCACAGCCAGCCUCAGCAACUAAGCCAGGUCUUAGGUAACUUAGCGAGACCCUGUCUCAA
rnacentral:sRNA from 1 species